GGGAGUGUAGUGAAAUGGAGCCAAACUUAGGCGCCAUGAUCUUGAUCUGAUUGACAUAACAGCUUGAAAAAAAUCUGUGCAUAUAGAAGCAAGAAACUUACUGGACUCCCAAACAUUAACUGGAACUGGACCCCCUCCAAACAUUAAUUGAAGCCGAGGAAGAAGGGUCUGAGUACGAAGACCAGGAAGAAGAAGACGAUGACGAAGACGACGACGAUGAUCAGGAGGAAGACGAUCGGAUUCUGCAGCCGCAGCCUGAGGUAAACGGUGACGGCAAUAGAGAUGGGCCCAUUUCUGUUACCCUUACUGACCCGGAUGUAUUGGAUUGCCCUAUCUGCAUUGAGCCCCUCAGCAUCCCUGUUUUUCAGGAUACAGGGAGAGAGUUUUUGCAAUCAUUGGUGUCAAGGUGUAUGCUGCUGGGCUAUAUGUGAAUCAGUCAAUUUCACUAGGAUAAAACUGUUUGCAUUUAUCAAACCUGAUUGAACAAGGAAAGAGAGGAGGGGGAAAAGUAAAUUAAGAAGCUAAUAUUGAUUGGAAACUGCAGCUCCUUUGGAAAAAUCUCUGCAAAUUGUUCUGGUGAGAGAUAUGGAUGGUAAAACGUUUUGGGAUGCCUUAGAUGAAGCCAUCUCUCCAAGAAUUAAAUCGCCUACUCCAGUUGAUACCUCUGCUCUUUCUACAUUUAGUACUCUGUGUAGACACCAAAUUUUAAAUAAUUUUGUAUGUUGCAUCUAAUUCAUGAAUUUUGUUUCAGAUUGUUUGCAUUUUAGUUCAUUAUUGUUUGUUUCGCACUUUUAGUUGUUAUUUCAUUUUAGUUUUGUUCAUUUUU